rnacentral:rRNA from 2 species
AAGUCAUAACAAGGUUUCCGUAGGUGAACCUGCGGAAGGAUCAUUAAUAGUGCCCUCUGAUGCAAAUCAUUGGGUUAGAUCUGCUCUCUUCGCAAGAAGAGGGUUUCCAUACACACCGUGAACUGUGGCUUCGGCCAUCACAAACUGUUAGUAAUGAAUGUAAUAUCAUAACAAAAACAAAACUUUUAACAACGGAUCUCUUGGCUCUCGCAUCGAUGAAGAACGCAGCGAAAUGCGAUAAGUAAUGUGAAUUGCAGAAUUCAGUGAAUCAUCGAAUCUUUGAACGCACCUUGCGCCCUUUGGUAUUCCGAAGGGCAUGCCUGUUUGAGUGUCAUGAAACCUCACCCCACUUGGGUUUUUGCCUGAGCGGUGGUGUAUUGGGUGUUGCCUUGCUAAAGGCUCGCCUUAAAGACAUAAGCACCUUGGAUGUAAUACGUUUCAUCCUUCUGGGUGGCUGAUAACCCCACAUAUUCAUGAUCUGGCCUCAAAUCAGGUAGGGCUACCCGCUGAACUUAA